UAUAAAUUUAAUUUAUAUUUUUAAUUAAUUUUUAAAUUUAAAAUAAUAUAUAAAAUUUAAUUUAAAAUUUUAUUAAAUUAAUAAAUAUUUUAGUUAAUAAAUAAAAUUAAUAAAUAUUAAAGAAAUUUAUAAUUUGUUAUAUUUUUAAUUAUAGAUAAAUUUAGUGCCAGCAAUUGCGGUUAUACUUUUUAUAAAAAAUUAAUUUUUUAAUAAUAAUUAUUUUUAUUUAUUACAUAUAAUAUAAUUUAAAUAUUAAUUUUUUGGUUAAAUAUAAUUAAUUAAUAUAAAAUUUUAUAUUUAUAAUAAAUUUAAUGAAAUUUAAUAAAUUUUAUUAUAAACUAGGAUUAGAUACCCUAUUAUUUAAAAAUUAAUAUAUAUAAAUAUUUAUAAAUUAAAUUUUAAUAAUUAAAUAAAUAAAUUUGACGGUAUUUUAAUUUAGUCAGAGGAACUUGUUGUUUAAUUUGAUAAUCCACGAUAAGAUAUACUUAAAUUUAAAUAUUUAUAUAUAUUCAUUUAAAAAAAAUUAUAUAAAUAUAUUUUUAUUAAAAUUAAUUUUAAUAAUAAAAAUUUAGAUAAAUAUGUAGUUUAUAUUUAAGAAUUUAAUGAGUUACAAUAAAUUUUAAUUUAUUUAAUUAUUAUUUUAAAAUAUUAAUUAUUAUAGAAUUUGAAGGUAAAUUUAAUUAAUUAAUUAAAUUGAUUUAGUUUAAUUUUAAAAUAUGUACAAAUUGCCCGUCAAUUUAGUUUAAUUAAUUUUUAAUCAAAUAAUAUUAUUUAAUUAAAAAUUAAUAGAUUGAGUAAGUCGUAACAAAGUAAUUGUACUGGAAAGUGUAGUUAGAAUUAUUAU
rnacentral:ncRNA from 1 species